AGCCCAUGCCAUGACACGCCCAU
rnacentral:siRNA from 1 species